UACGUAGGGUGCGAGCGUUGUCCGGAAUCAUUGGGCGUAAAGGGCGCGUAGGCGGUGCGGUAAGUCUGUAGUGAAAUCUCUGGGCUCAACUCAGAGUCUGCUGCAGAAACUGCCGUGCUUGAGUGUGGGAGAGGUGAGUGGAAUUCCCGGUGUAGCGGUGAAAUGCGUAGAGACCCGGAGGAACACCAGUGGCGAAGGCGGCUUCCUGGUCUGCGACUGACGCUGUGGCGCGAAAGCUAGGGGAGCAAACGGG
rnacentral:rRNA from 1 species